AUACUUACCUGGCAGGGGCUAUGCCAUGAUCAAGUAGGUGGGUCACCCAGGGUGAGGCUCAGCCAUUGCACUGCUGUUGUGCCUGACCCUUGCGAAUUCCCCAAAUGGGGGAAUCUCGACUGCAAAAUUUCUGGCAGUGGGCGACUGCGUUCGCGCUCUCCCCUG